rnacentral:rRNA from 1 species
GUUUGAUCCUGGCUCAGGAUGAACGCUGGCGGCGUGCUUAACACAUGCAAGUCGAACGAAGCACUUUAUUUGAUUUCCUUCGGGACUGAUUAUUUUGUGACUGAGUGGCGGACGGGUGAGUAACGCGUGGGUAACCUGCCUCAUACAGGGGGAUAACAGUUAGAAAUGACUGCUAAUACCGCAUAAGACCACGGAGCCGCAUGGCUCAGUGGGAAAAACUCCGGUGGUAUGAGAUGGACCCGCGUCUGAUUAGGUAGUUGGUGGGGUAACGGCCUACCAAGCCGACGAUCAGUAGCCGACCUGAGAGGGUGACCGGCCACAUUGGGACUGAGACACGGCCCAAACUCCUACGGGAGGCAGCAGUGGGGAAUAUUGCACAAUGGGCGAAAGCCUGAUGCAGCGACGCCGCGUGAGCGAAGAAGUAUUUCGGUAUGUAAAGCUCUAUCAGCAGGGAAGAUAAUGACGGUACCUGACUAAGAAGCACCGGCUAAAUACGUGCCAGCAGCCGCGGUAAUACGUAUGGUGCAAGCGUUAUCCGGAUUUACUGGGUGUAAAGGGAGCGCAGGCGGUGCGGCAAGUCUGAUGUGAAAGCCCGGGGCUCAACCCCGGUACUGCAUUGGAAACUGUCGUACUAGAGUGUCGGAGGGGUAAGCGGAAUUCCUAGUGUAGCGGUGAAAUGCGUAGAUAUUAGGAGGAACACCAGUGGCGAAGGCGGCUUACUGGACGAUAACUGACGCUGAGGCUCGAAAGCGUGGGGAGCAAACAGGAUUAGAUACCCUGGUAGUCCACGCCGU